rnacentral:rRNA from 1 species
CUUGGUCAUUUAGAGGAAGUAAAAGUCGUAACAAGGUUUUGUCAGAAGAUCCUUCUUCGAAGCCUUCCACACAACGACUCUAACCAUGUGUGCAGUCUAGAAAUAGGCGACGUCACCCCUGUGCUGGAACCCUAUCGUUCAGAUGGCGGACCAGCAGCCAGGAUUUCCUGGUCCACAGAUUAGGUGGUGGCGGUCCUUGGAUUUUAACCCUGGGAUCAAGAUAUAAUCGGUCCCCAUUGAUCUUUGAUGGUUGAGAAACGUUCCGUAGGUGAACCUGCGGAAGGAUCAUUAUCGAGUUAGGGUCCUCUGGGCCCCAUCUCCAACCCUUGUCUAUCUUACCAUGUUGCUUUGGCGGACCCGUCUUUAACUGGACCGCCGGGGACCUCGGUCCCUGGCCCGUGCCCGCCAGUAGCCCCAAUUAAUUCUUCGAAUACUGAUGUCUAAGCCUUAAAAGCAAUAACUAAAACUUUCAACAACGGAUCUCUUGGUUCUGGCAUCGAUGAAGAACGCAGCGAAAUGCGAUAAGUAAUGCGAAUUGCAGAAUUCCGUGAGUCAUCGAAUCUUUGAACGCACAUUGCGCCCUUUGGUAUUCCGAAGGGCAUGCCUGUUCGAGCGUCAUUAUCAACCGUCAAGCCCGGCUUGCUGUUGGGUCCCGUUGGGUGAGAACUACGACGGACCUCAAAGAUAAUGGCAGAGCCCGUGUGGACCCUGGAUGCAGCGAGCUUCUUCAGCACGCGUCCGGCGGUUCUCCGGCUCGGUCUUAACCAAAUUUUUUCUUCUGGUUGACCUCGGAUCAGGUAGGGAUACCCGCUGAACCUAAGCAUAUCAAUAAGCGGAGGA